UCCAGCACCCGUGAGGGGCAAAAGGGCUGCUAGCAGGACCGCCACGGCACUUGCCGUGGCGUUCACCGUCUCCAGGUGCUGGAGAGGCAGCUGCCUGCAAGCAACAGCCCGAGUCACAUACCCCACGUGUACGGGGCCAGCUGGGGGCAUUGACGUCACCCGGAGGGGAUUCCCCUUCCCGGGUGACAUCAUCAGAGGGCGCCCGGGCAAAGGGGGCGGGGCCGUGGAAGGCAGGCUCUUCAAAAGAGGUCAGAGAGAGCAGGGAGGGGAGGACGCUCCGGCCAGGGGAAAGGAGCCCUGUAUGGAGGGAGCCGCGGUCAACGACUGGAGAGACGGAGCUGCGGAUCACCGAGAAGGCGAGCUCGGCGAGGAGGAUUCCCCAGAGAGCAGGGAACAAGACUUGCAGGAUCCAUGGGUGAAGGAGGGACUAUAGGGUAGAGUACCAGCAUCAACUGAAGCGCAAUCUGUGAAUGGUUUGGCAGGUCUUUACUAGACCCUCUAAAUCAACCACCAAUGGCCAUGUCUCAGUGUGUCAACCCCCACAGUAAUGUUGAUGUAGCCCGACUCACUAUGUGCCUGAUCCUUCACUACUAAAGUAAACAGGAGCUUUAGCUACCCAAAAAGAAAAGCAGUGACCAUCCCACCCCAGCAGCUAACUUAGCCUGAGAGUACAAACUGUUCAAACUGGAAAGAUGGAAAAUCCACCAUACGCCAUGUGGUUGUGGAAAACCUGCAAGAGAAUAUUCAGGAAGAACAACCUCAUGAGGACUCCUGCUGCAGCAAGACCCCUCCAAAUCUCCCCAAGGCUUAACAGCUACCAUCUGACCUCACAGUCUGAACAGCACUUUGCAGAUUUAAAGUGCUAGAUGAGCAAUGGAUUUAUAAUUCACUAGCGUAACAUGCAUUUUACUUU